AGAUUUCAAAAAUAAGAAGGAAAAAAAAAUCAAAAACGCUUCUUUCGAGAGAAAACAUUUAAGAAAAGCACGAGGCUAGGAGCGAAGGCCUCAGGACCGAAGACCAGAUAUUGACGGAGAGGGAUCGAUACGGAGCAG
ensembl:ncRNA ZK637.19 ncRNA